UACGGAGGGAGCUAGCGUUGUUCGGAUAUACUGGGCGUAAAGCGCACGUAGGCGGCUACUCAAGUCAGAGGUGAAAGCCCAGGGCUCAACCUUGGAACUGCCUUUGAAACUAGGUAGCUAGAAUUCUGGGAGAGGUCAGUGGAAUUCCGAGUGUAGAGGUGAAAUUCGUAGAUAUUCGGAAGAACACCAGUGGCGAAGGCGACUGACUGGACAGAUAUUGACGCUGAGGUGCGAAAGCGUGGGGAGCAAACAGG
rnacentral:rRNA from 1 species